rnacentral:snoRNA from 1 species
AAUGUCCAUUGACAAAAAACUCAAAUGUGCAAUGUAAAUUUGAGUCAGACACCAUUGGACGAGACUAUGCUUCUAUGUCAACAGUCAAUUCAGAAAUUUAUUCUGAAUUGAUAUAAACAUUAGAAGACAUACUU